rnacentral:rRNA from 1 species
UCUGAUGUUAGCGGCGGACGGGUGAGUAACACGUGGAUAACCUACCUAUAAGACUGGGAUAACUUCGGGAAACCGGAGCUAAUACCGGAUAAUAUUUUGAACCGCAUGGUUCAAAAGUGAAAGACGGUCUUGCUGUCACUUAUAGAUGGAUCCGCGCUGCAUUAGCUAGUUGGUAAGGUAACGGCUUACCAAGGCAACGAUGCAUAGCCGACCUGAGAGGGUGAUCGGCCACACUGGAACUGAGACACGGUCCAGACUCCUACGGGAGGCAGCAGUAGGGAAUCUUCCGCAAUGGGCGAAAGCCUGACGGAGCAACGCCGCGUGAGUGAUGAAGGUCUUCGGAUCGUAAAACUCUGUUAUUAGGGAAGAACAUAUGUGUAAGUAACUGUGCACAUCUUGACGGUACCUAAUCAGAAAGCCACGGCUAACUACGUGCCAGCAGCCGCGGUAAUACGUAGGUGGCAAGCGUUAUCCGGAAUUAUUGGGCGUAAAGCGCGCGUAGGCGGUUUUUUAAGUCUGAUGUGAAAGCCCACGGCUCAACCGUGGAGGGUCAUUGGAAACUGGAAAACUUGAGUGCAGAAGAGGAAAGUGGAAUUCCAUGUGUAGCGGUGAAAUGCGCAGAGAUAUGGAGGAACACCAGUGGCGAAGGCGACUUUCUGGUCUGUAACUGACGCUGAUGUGCGAAAGCGUGGGGAUCAAACAGGAUUAGAUACCCUGGUAGUCCACGCCGUAAACGAUGAGUGCUAAGUGUUAGGGGGUUUCCGCCCCUUAGUGCUGCAGCUAACGCAUUAAGCACUCCGCCUGGGGAGUACGACCGCAAGGUUGAAACUCAAAGGAAUUGACGGGGACCCGCACAAGCGGUGGAGCAUGUGGUUUAAUUCGAAGCAACGCGAAGAACCUUACCAAAUCUUGACAUCCUUUGACAACUCUAGAGAUAGAGCCUUCCCCUUCGGGGGACAAAGUGACAGGUGGUGCAUGGUUGUCGUCAGCUCGUGUCGUGAGAUGUUGGGUUAAGUCCCGCAACGAGCGCAACCCUUAAGCUUAGUUGCCAUCAUUAAGUUGGGCACUCUAAGUUGACUGCCGGUGACAAACCGGAGGAAGGUGGGGAUGACGUCAAAUCAUCAUGCCCCUUAUGAUUUGGGCUACACACGUGCUACAAUGGACAAUACAAAGGGCAGCGAAACCGCGAGGUCAAGCAAAUCCCAUAAAGUUGUUCUCAGUUCGGAUUGUAGUCUGCAACUCGACUACAUGAAGCUGGAAUCGCUAGUAAUCGUAGAUCAGCAUGCUACGGUGAAUACGUUCCCGGGUCUUGUACACACCGCCCGUCACACCACGAGAGUUUGUAACACCCGAAGCCGGUGGAGUAACCUUUUAGGAGCUAGCCGUCGAAGGUGGGACAAAUGAUUGGGGUGAAGUCGUAACAAGGUAGCCGUAUCGGAAGGUGCGGCUGGAUCACCUCCUUU